rnacentral:rRNA from 1 species
GACGAUGACGUUGAUAGGCCGGGUGUGUAAGCGCAGCGAUGCGUUGAGCUAACCGGUACUAAUGAACCGUGAGGCUUAACCUUACAACGCCGAAGCUGUU